rnacentral:rRNA from 1 species
UUGAUCCUGGCUCAGAAUCAACGCUGGCGGCGUGCCUAACACAUGCAAGUCGAACGAGAAAGUGGAGCAAUCCAUGAGUAAAGUGGCGACCGGGUGAGUUACACGUGACUAACCUACCUUCGAGUGGGGGAUAACCUCGGGAAACCGAGUCUAAUACCGCAUAACAUCGCAAGAUCAAAGCAGCAAUGCGCUGGAAGAGUGGGUCGCGGCUGAUUAGCUAGUUGGCGGGGUAACGGCCCACCAAGGCGAUGAUCGGUAUCCGGCCUGAGAGGGCGCACGGACACACUGGAACUGAAACAUGGUCCAGACUCCUACGGGAGGCAGCAGUGGGGAAUUUUGCGCAAUGGGGUAAACCCUGACGCAGCAACGCCGCGUGGAGGAUGAAGCCCCUUGGGGCGUUGACUCCUUUCGACCAAGACGAUGAUGACGGUACUGGUGGAAGAAGCACCUGCUAACUCUGUGCCAGCAGCCGCGGUAAUU